CCAAAAGAGGGGAGACCAAGCCUGGAGGGGAUGCGGACCCGAAGGGAAGCAGCCCCAACUGGAGAGGAGAGGAGGGCAGAGGAGGAGAGAGCAAGAGCAAGAGCCAGCCUCCCUUGCCGAGUGCGCCUCUGAUGGAAAUACUGAGGCUGAAAAGUCACAGCAGUUAUGUUACAGCCACGGGGAGAACGGUAAGCAUACACAACCUGGGACUUGAACGCAGAGCUUGAAGGAACACUUCCCAGGAUCCCCCAGUCAGUUUUUUCCAUCUGGAAAAUGAGAAUCACAGCCAUUAAAAUGGAUCACUGGGAAGAUGAAAUGGUGCCAACAACCAUAAAUUGUUGGCAUGUGCAUAUGCCUUCAAAUUGCUUGUUCACUUACGGCGUCUCCAUGAAUUGUAUCAGGUUUUUAAAGGCAAGGAAUCCACAAUUCCUUCCUUUUAAAUAUAACUUAUUAGCAGGGCUUCCAUUCAAAUAGUGGGCCCUCGGUAUCCACAAGGGUUUGAUUCCAGGACUCCCUGUAGAUAGCAAAAUUAGUGCCUAAUAAUAAUACAGUAGAGUCUCACUUAUCCAAGCUAAACGGGCCGGCAGAAGCUUGGAUAAGCAAAUAUCUUGGAUAAUAAGGAGAGAUUAAGGAAAAGCCUAUUAAACAUCAAAUUAGGUUAUAAUUUUACAAAUUAAGCACCAAAACUUCAUGUUAUACAACAAAUUUGACAGAAAAAGUAGUUCAAUACACAAUAAUGUUAUGUUGUAAUUACUGUAUUUACGAAUUUAGCACCAAAAUAUCACGAUAUAUUGAAAACAUUGACUACAAAAAUGGCUUGGAUUAUCCAGAGGCUUGGAUAAGUGAGGCUUGGAUAAGUGAGCCUCUACUGUAAUAAUAAUAAUAUUAAUAAUAAUAAUAAUAAUAAUAAUAAUAAUAAUAAUAAUAAUAAUAAUAAAUUACCUGCCUCUCUUUGCAGCUCGAAGUGGGGUAAACGAUGAACACAGUAAUAUUAUACAUGGUAUGGUAAAAUAGCAUCUCUUAUAUAAACUGGCAAAAGAUGUGCUUUUUGGAAUUAACAAAACCCCAAAUUUUCCAGCUCUGGGUCAUUGUAUCCAUAGAUCGAGCAUUGACUGUAUGAACUGGGACUGACUCAGCUUAGAUUCAAAGAUCAGAUGGGAUCUUAUGUCUGCCCAGAAUGCAUGAAAUACUUUAGUUUUCAUUGCUUUUGUGUAGUUGGUGAGGAGAGGGCCUUUGUUGUGCAUUCCUGCCUGAGAGAAUAUUGGAUCCGAGAGCCAAAUGGACGAUUCUGUGAUGCUGAGGAUAACUGUGCCGCGAACGGCAGCUUCCUAUGCGGAGUGCACGACUGAUGCAAAUUGAGCACAUCUGCAUAAUCCUUUGCUUGCCUUCUGAAAUUUGUACUACAUAAUUUAUUCUUAAUAGGCCCAUCACGAGGGAGGCAAAGGACCACGCAGGGCCAUGAACCCUUCUCCCGCUUCUCCGCCUCAUCUAUGGAAACCUUAAUCAACUCAACCUUCUGGCUUCUGGGAUUCCAGCCAGCCAGACCCGGUGCCCAAGUAACUCCCCGGCUUAAUUUCACAGCCGUAUACGUACCACAGACAUGCCUUUUCCACAAGAUUGCCACGAUAUCCCACUUUUAUUAAUUUAUCGGAUUGAAACAAUUAGAGCUUGCUGGUCCAUCAAGACUUCCAAGAUGGUAGGAUAAUACAGAUUUUGAAAAGGGUGUUUAGCAUCCAGGAGAGAAAAUUGGAUUUGGCGGAGGUAGAAGUGGGCAGAAUCACUUCUGAAUCAUGUCUGUCUAUAUAUGUUGUUUGUCUGUUGACAUUGAAUGUUUGCCAUAUAUGUGUUCAUUGUAAUCCGCCCUGAGUCCCCUUCGGGGUGAGAAGGGCGGAAUAUAAAUACUGUAAAUAAAUAAAUAAAUAAUAAAUUUUUGGAAAACUGAAAAUCCUAGAAUUCCUAACCCAUUUUGGUUUAGAUGUUUUUCCAUCUCUGAUUGUAAGUCACUGGGGUUUCGGGUAGAGAAAAUGCUUUUUUGUCACCUGCGAUCUUAUUGUUUUAAUUCGGACUUGAAUCUGAGAUUUUGGAGACAUAAUCCAUGCACCGAUCCUGCUGACACACACUCCCAGUUCGCCUCAACUAGAUGAGCAUCUAAGUAUAGCUCUUGCCUCUCAAAAAAGCCUCCAUCUCAUCAAUGCACUCCACAAUUUUUUGGAGAGACAAUCCAAGGAAGACGCAGGUUGUUUUGGAAAGAAAUGCACACAAAUCCGCUUUUAAAAGCUUUCCACAGAUCAACCAUAGACAAAUGGUCCACCAGGCAAUAGCACUAUGGUUACAAAUUAAGGUUUGUGUUGGGCAUUCAGGGAUGUCCAACUAUACAUGCACAUCCAUGCACUAUACAUGCACAUCCAUGGGCUCGGGCUGUGGCGCAGGCUGGAGAGCAGCUGCAAUGAAUCACUGCAAUGAAUCACUCUGACCAAGAGGUCAUGAGUUCGAGGCCCGCUCGGAGCCUAUGUUUGUCUUGUCUUUGUUCUAUGUUAAAAGGCAUUGAAUGUUUGCCUAUAUGUGUAAUGUGAUCCGCCCCGAGUCCCCUUCGGGGUGAGAAGGGCGGAAUAUAAAUGCUGUAAAUAAAUAAAUAAUAAAUAAUAGUAUGAACUGACAAGACCACCUAUAAACUCCCACAGAAGCUCUGGAAUACAGCAUACUGUUCAGUAAUGCGAUCUGUUGGACUACAAUUCCCAGAAUCCCCUAUGCAAUGUUGACCAGGCUGACUGCAGUUUCUGAUAUUUUUAGUCCAAAAAACUUCUGCUGGAACAGAGUGCAUCUACACUGUUGAAUGAAUGAGACCACCUCCAACUGCCAUGGCUCAGUGCUAUGAACUCUUGGGAGUUCUAGUUUGAUGAACACCAACACUCUUGGGCAAAGAAGGCUAAGGACCUUGUGAAGCUGCAGCCCUAAUGAUUUCAAAGCAUUGGGCCAUGGCAGUUAAAGUGGCCUCAAACUACAUUAAUUCCACAGUGCAGAUGCACCCAUAGAUAGAUAGAUUCUCCAGGUUUAGGUUUGAAACUUAAAGGAGCUAUCCAAGGUGCUGAACCCAUAUCCAAAACCCAUCUCAGGAUUGGAGAUUUCCUUGAAAGCUUGGGAUGAAACAGCCAGCUGCCCCUGUUCCAUAUGUACCUUGGUUUUUAUGGAAGAAAAGUUCAGGAACUAAAUAGGCACAAAGGAGUUGGAAGCAGAAGUGAAAAACAGAGGAAAUAGAUUAAAAUGUCAACACAUGAUUAACAUGGCUUAGAAAGCCUUGAAACAGGAGCGCUUUAGGGGCAAAGUCACGAGGUUUUGAACAGCCCAGAUACUAGUGGAUUACAGGAUCCAUCUUUUCAACAAUUGACAAGCAUUGAGUUGAUGGGUCAAGGGUCCAUUAAUCCUCUAUAGAGCGAUCAGUUCCUCAUCUAUACUGGUGGGGCUGUUUCUUCCUUCACAAAGGCCCUGUUGAAUAGCAAAGGAGUCAACUCUUAUGUCUUGUUUGUGAAGAAAGCACACACACAAAGCUUCCUCCUGGACUUGCAACUGAGCUACUAUGGCCUUCCAUUUCAUAGGAAAAGAAUAAUGAUCAGGGCUGGGCUGUUGGUUAGUAGCCAGCUUCAAUAAAUUACUAUUGCCCAAGAGGUCAUGAGUUCGAAGCCAGCCCGGGUCGGAUUAAGCCCCCGACCAUUAAAUAGUCUAGCUUGCUGUUGACCUAUGCAGCCUGAAAGACAGUUGCAUCUGUCGAGUAGGAAAUGUAGGUACUGCUUUAUGCGGCAAGGCUAAUUUAACGAAUCUACAACACCAUAAAACCUUCCAACAGUGUGCAGAAGAAUGAGGAAGUACUCCAUCAAGGACUCGGUGCCACAAGUGGACAGUGAAGCAGCAGCUCCCCCUGUGGCCGCAAUCGAGCAAUCCUCAUGAAGCCGGAAGCUGGAAAAUGUUAAAUUGCCUCUGUGUCUGUCUAUAUAGGUUGUAUAUCUAAUGGCAUUGAAUGUUUGCCAUGUAUAUGUGCAUUGUGAUUCGCCCUGAGUCCACUUCGGGGUGAGAAGGGUGGAAUAUAAAUACUGUAAAUAAAUAAAAUAGAGUAUCCCUCUCUACAUAGCCAAAAACAAAUCCUAAAGGUCCCAAUAAACAUCAGCAGAUGAUGCAAUGGUUCUUCAUCUGGCAACAAGGACACAGCCAGGUGCUUCUCUGACCCUGCCCUCUACUCCCCAAAUAAUAAAUGAAUGGCUGAUGGGAAAGUUGCAGUUCAGUCCGGGAGUAAAUAACAGGCAGUUUAUUCAGAAUGCACAAGAAAUGCAUACCUGGAAUAGGGAAAGCUGACCAUUCUCCUUGCUAUGGAAGUUUAAUAAUGCAGUGGUGGGUUGAAAAACAAGGAUCAGGAUAUGGAGAUAGAAUGAGUGCAAGGGAUAUUACUGGAUCUAAUUCAAAGCAAGAUUGCUCGGGAGGGAUAGGUACUUUGGGGAUUGGAAUCCAAAGACCAGCAAGAGGUAUUCUGCUUAGUUGCCUUGCUUUAAUGUCUUUGCAGAAGAUUUUGAUUGCCUUACUGAGAUAUGCAAGGUGGUAUUAAUACAACAUGCUGUUGCCAUUGUUGAUACAAGCUGAUGUGAAUUUCCGGAAAGGCAACUGAGGCAUUCUAAAAUAAAUUAGGAAAGGCUGCUUCAUCUCGUUCCGGGAUAAUCAUAAUACAAAGUUUAUUCCUUAUUUACAAGGUCUUCAGUCAAAUCAAGUUGGCCGUGAAGGUAAGAAUGACAAGAGUCUGCACGACGAAUCGCACCAGAGGAUUACUUCGUGUGUCCAAGAGGCACCACUUCCUGUUUGGCUACCGUUAUACAUGAAGAGGCGCUCCAGAAAUGUCACUGCAUCCCGUCAUCUCUCUCUGGCCAUGGCUACCAGUUUGGUUCAAGUUCCCUCCUAUGACUCCUCUGGAAAGCCAUGGCAAUCUGAAGUCAUCUAUUUCUUCUUCCAUCAAACAAUAACGGCUCAGCCACUUUCAUCACUCUUUUGAAUCUUUCUCGUCCUCAGCUUUGGGAUCCUGGAGGUGCGCAGCAGUGCUCUCCUGGGCCUUCUGGUUUGCCACUUUCAACCGAAGCCGUUCUAAGAGACACUGGGCUACCUGUGUGAGGCUGUGCUGUUGGAGGAAGAAUGAACAAGAGAAGAGAUUUCAUUUCAAAGAAUGCAUGCCUUGCCUUUCCAGCUUUACCAGGAUGCACAGAGUGAUUCAUUCUCUAGAUAAAAAUGUCAGCACUUGGAAAAGUUAGUGUUUGUGGACAACAACUACUAAAUUCUCCAUCUAAUGCUGGAAAUUGUAGCUUAGCAUACAAAUAGAAUUAGAGUAUUUAGGUUGUGAUGAAAGAAGCAAUUUCUUAUUGGGUUGCUGUGAGUUUUCCAGGCUGUCUGGCCAUGUUCCAUAAGCAUUCUCUCUUGAUGUUUCGCCCACAUCUAUGGCAGGCAUCCUCAGAGUUUAUGAGGUAUGUUGGAAACAAGGCAAGUGGAGUUUAUAUAUCUGUGGAAUGUUCAGGUUGGGAGAAAGAACUCUUGUCUGUUGAUUAGCACUGAAUUCAGUUUCAAGGCCUGGCUGCUUCCUGCCUGGGGAAUGCUUUGUUGGGAGAUGGUAGCUGGCCCAGAGUGAGUCAUGUCUGGAAUUCCUCUGUUCUGUUCUGUUAAUGUUGUUCUUUAUUCACUGUCCAGAUUUUGGAUUUUUUAAAUACUGAUAAUGAGUUUUUGUUCAUUUUCAUGGUUUCCUCCUUUCUGUUGAAAUUGUCCACAUGCUCGUGGCUUUCAAUGGCUUCUCUCUGUAGUCUGAUAUGGUAGUUGAUGAACCAAUCUGGACACAGCUUAUUAUUUGAGAACACAAAAAUGCUGGACUACUCUAACAACCACCAUAUCAGACUAGAACAUGGCCAUACAGCCCAGAAAACUCACAGCAACCUAGUGAUUCCGGCCAUGAAAGCUUUCGACAACACAAUUUCUUAUUGUUGAUGCCCCCUAGAAGUAAAGUGGUCUCAAACUCCAUUCAAAAGAUCUGUUAGUGUAGGAGCAAACAGAGGCUCUGUCAGGAAGUUAGCUGAUCAAUUGUGUGCCACAAUUGUCACAUGUGGCAGCCACUCACUGCACAACAGUAGAUGGACACACAGACAAGAAGUCAAAAACCUUGAGUGAGUACACACGAAGGUUCAAAGGGGUGGAACUGGCUUUGCCCUUCCAUAAACCACCCUGAAGUAGCCAUGAUGCAUGGAUUUCUCCUUCCUUUCCUGCUGCUCGGCAACAUAUAUAUUUACUUUGAAGAAAAAUUAACUUCUUGGAAUAACAACUCCUGGAAUCCCUCACCUAGCAUAGUCAAUAAAUUCAUUUUUUAACCUGGAAAGUUGCUUUUUGGGGUUACAGCUCACUAGAACUGUUCAUUCCAUGAGCAAGACAACUGAGGAUUUCUGGAAAUUGCAAUCUAAAUAAAGAUCCUCCUCAAGCUGUACUUGGCAACUGGUUGGCAACAGGACUCCCAAAUGCCUCAAUACGCAUUUGUAAGCAGUGUAAAAUAAACAUAGUAUAUAGAUAUAUGCCUUUACGAGGGAGGCAGGGAAGUACAGAAAAUGCAGACUGCAGUGAGCAACCCCUUCUGCCUUCCAAGGGAGUGGAACACUUGGGGGCCAGGCUCUAGCACAGCAGGUUAACCGCCAGCUGCAAUAAAUCUUAUCAAUCGAAAGGUUGGCAGUUCGAAGCCCGGGUCGGGGUGAGCACCCAACCUUCAGCCCAGCUCACUGCCCACCUAGCAGAUCGAAAAAAAGCUGAAUAGAUUAAUAGAUACCGCUGUAGUGGGGAGAUAUUUUUAUGGCAUCAUAAAGAAAAUACGAGAAAAAUGCCGGCGAUCAAAAAAAGGAGGAAGUCUGUGAACAGAGCUCUUUGACAUGGAGGGUGGAGCGACAGUACUUCCCUGUGGUUGGAAUCGAGCAGAACCUCCAGGAAGCUGAAGAUGGGAAAUGCCAAUAUACCUCUAUCUGUACUGUUGUCUGUCCUGUCUGUGUAUAACGGCAUUGAAUGUUUACUGUAUAUGUGUUCUGUGAUCUGCCCUGAAUCCCCUUUGGGGUGAGAAGGGCGGGAUAUAAAUGCUGUAAAUAAAUAAGAAAUAAAUACA